UCCUACAUGUUAUGAAGCUCUUUGCUCACACUCCUUCCUUCAGUGAGGGGACAGGAUGCUGGAAGUCACAGUACAGCUAAAUAACUGAACUAUGCCUUAAACUGCAGCCACUUGAGUUGAAACUAGAUCUGAAAGACAACUCCCAAAAUAAAAUGAGUCUGACACAACAACUGCAAAACAUUGGGACACAUUUUUGGUUAUUCACUAAAAGACUUCUAAGGACCACAAUGGAAAAGGAAUAAAAGUGAGCUGAGUGAGCUGUUUUUUUGAUGUUGCUGUUUUUUUUGUUUUGUUUUGUUUUGUUUUGUUUUAUUUUUUUUUGUGAAGAGAACCUCCAGUCUAGAUUUCACAUUCAUGUAAUACUUGAUUCAUGUAAUAAUCUGCUUUCCACCGAUAUUUCAGGUUAGGUCUCUCUAAGCUCAAAGACAGGAUGUUUUUGUGUAACAACAAUAAGAUUUUUUGCCUCCAGCAAACAGUCAGCACCCAAGCUUGCUGAAGUAUAAGGUGUAUUUGCGUGGUUUGGCCUUCUGUUGGCCUUGGACUCAGUAAUCACUAAAUUAUGGUCAUUUUUGGAGUCUCUAAGAAAGACCUAUUUUUGUAGCUCCUGUUGUCUUUCACAUAAGCCAGGUGAUGGUGCCUUUCAUAACAAAAUCAUCAUGUACAUGACACAAUUUUACACAGCGCUCACUGCUGCUGUGGACGAGAUCUAUUGCCUUCACUACUAUUCCCCUACCA